rnacentral:rRNA from 1 species
GACGAACGCUGGCGGCGCGCUUAACACAUGCAAGUCGAACGGAAAGGCCUGCUUUCCCUUGUGGAUUGCGGGUACUCGAGUGGCGAACGGGUGAGUAACACGUGAGUGAUCUGCCCCCAACUUGGGUAUAAGCCUGGGAAACUGGGUCUAAUUCCCGAUAGGACUGCAGGGUGGUGCCUGUGGUGGAAAACGAUUUUCUAGUGGUUGGGGAUGAGCUCGCGGCCUAUCAGCUUGUUGGUGGGGUAAUGGCCUACCAAGGCGGCGACGGGUAGCCGGCCUGAGAGGGUGGACGGUCACAUUGGGACUGGGAUACGGCCCAGACUGCUACGGGAGGCAGCAGUGGGGAAUAUUGGACAAUGGGCGGAAGCCUGAUGCAGCGACGCCGCGUGGGGGAUGACGGCAUUCGGGUUGUAAACUCCUUUCGACCGCGAGGAAGCCACCUGGUUGGAAGGGUGGUGACGGUAGUGGUAGAAGAAGCACCGGCUAACUACGUG